CUCCCAUUCCCACGACCAUGAUGCAGGCGAAUGCCAGGAUACCCACAGCCACGCCGAGACCCACAGAGGAGUCCACGGGUUUUUUUGUGCUGAUUGACACAUCUGAGAUGCAAAGACAUACAAGGAGUGACAGAGACAGGAUGAAGAAACACAUGCUCAUAACCCCGAGGAUUGCGAUGGCAGAAAUCAAGGCACUCGUCACUGAAUUCAUUUUGAAUGGAGGUUGGUGGCUUUUACGGCGGCGAACACUCGUGUCUUCAGAGUAAGUCCAGACAUUGGGAUGGCAAGGUGCUGGAUGUAUGUGGAGUCCUUAAACAUUGAACACCACAGUGAUAAAGCCAACUUACGAAGCAAGCUGUGUGUUGUUGACCAGGUAUUCCAGUGGGUAACUACAACUGAACUUGUAAAGCAGUCCUGGUAGAUAGCUGAUGACCGUUGGGGGAUCCGGAGUGUCAAUGUAUCCUGCUAUAUUCCCAAUCUGAACCAGGGAAAGAUUCCCAUAUGCGUUGGGCCCCUGAGCCGUUGAGACCUACAGACACAGUGGCACUAAACUGUGAUUGUUCUUCCUGAAACUAAUGUACCUUCACCUCCAUAAUCCUCAGCCAUUUUAUCAAUGCCGGAUCUCUGCCAUCACCAAACCAAAGAUAAAAAUCCAGCUCACCGCAGAUGUUCUUCAUUUAUCAUGACCAAAUUGUCAUAGAGAGAAUACUGUCUCUCCAAACACAAGCUGAAUUUUAGCAGUUACUGUAACAAAUGAGUUUUUCUUACUAAUGACUGAACCUGAAAUAAAAGUUCUGGGUCAUUUAAGGG